CCUACGGGAGGCAGCAGUAGGGAAUAUUGGGCAAUGGAGGCAACUCUGACCCAGCCAUGCCGCGUGCAGGAUGAAGGCGUUAUGCGUUGUAAACUGCUUUUAUAUAGGAAGAAAGAGUUCUUGCGAGAACAGUUGACGGUACUAUAUGAAUAAGCACCGGCUAACUCCGUGCCAGCAGCCGCGGUAAUACGGAGGGUGCAAGCGUUGUCCGGAUUUAUGGGUUUAAAGGGUGCGUAGGCGGUUUAUAAGUCAGUGGUGAAAGACGGUCGCUCAACGAUUGCAGUGCCAUUGAUACUGGUAGACUUGAGUGAGAUUGAGGUAGCUGGAAUGGAUAGUGUAGCGGUGAAAUGCAUAGAUAUUAUCCAGAACACCAAUUGCGUAGGCAAGUUACUAAGUCUCAACUGACGCUGAGGCACGAAAGUGUGGGUAUCAAACAGGAUUAGAUACCCUGGUAGUCCANACUGUAAACCGNUGAUAACUACUGUGCUUAGGUCUGUGUAGAGAGAAUAGUAGUAUACACGNGGAGACGCGCGACGAGACGACAANAGAGUAGAGAGNGAGAGNGCGAGGACGACGACGAGGGAGAGG
rnacentral:rRNA from 1 species